UUUAACCAAAUAAACUUUUUUUCAGUAUGAUUGCUACGGAUUUGCGAAGAAUGGAGGAAACAGAAAUUGAUGCAUUGUAAUAAGCAGCUGUGGGUGAUGCAGCAGUUACAGUCAAUACAGAUCUUCCGGCCGAGGUUGUGCAGGUCCCUACCCUGGAACAAUUCAGACAGGGGAUAAAACCAAUCAAAAUGACAUAGAGGCUGCAUUCAGAAAGUCUACAGAAAGGCUAAGGAUUGCUGAUGAUAAGUAGUCAGUUGGAGUCGGUGUCAAAAAUCAAGCAAAGUGUUGAAAAAAACUGAAAAUGUUUCAUGACUUGUAUUAGUUAAAAGAGUGUGAUAAGAGCAUGACAUUUAGCAAAAAGAAGUGUUGAAAACUUUGUUGUAAGGUAUAGCUUGAAGAAAAAAAACAUCAGGAAGGGUGAAAAGACAUUUUAAAGAGUUUUUCACAUCUUCGCAAAGAUCAAUAUGAGUCUGAUGAAUAAGUUUGCCUUCUAUCCAACACUGUUCUACAAUGUGAUCAUGACGAAAGUGUCCAGUCGUAAAUGGUAUGACCGGAUUGAUGAGACCGUUCUGCUCGGAGCUCUCCCAUUCCGAGGAAUGACAAAAUGGUUUGUAGAGGAAGAGAAUGUAAAAGGAGUGGUAACACUGAAUGAAGAUUGGGAACUGGAACAAUUCUGUAAUACUGAGGAGGAAUGGAAGAAGGUUGGUGUAAGACAGCUGAAGGUUCCUACAGUUGAUUUUACAGCCAGUCCUAGUCAAGAUGACAUCAGAAAGGCAGUGGCAUUUAUAGAGGAUUACCGUAACAAUGAUAUAGGAAGUGUGUACGUACACUGCAAGGCUGGGAGAACUCGAAGUGCAACUGUUGUGGCAUGUUAUCUAGUCAAAAUUCAUGGAUGGCCACCAGAAAAGGCAGUUGAGUUUAUCCAGGAGAAAAGACCUCAUAUAUGGCUAAGAGAUAAACAGCUAGAUUCUAUACAGCAGUUCUGGAAAGCAUGCAACAAGGAUAUACCUUCUGGGGCUUAGUCUAUGUGCAAUAUUAACACUUGUUAGAUCUAAAUAAUUAUAGAAUCAAGAUCUCAUUCACAUAUUUGUUAACAGGACACUCAGUUAAUUUGUUUUUAGAACAGUUAGUUGAUAUUAAUGUUUAUUUGGGGGGGGGGGGGGGGGUAGGUCAAUAUUUAGAUUAAGAUCAGUAUUAAAAUAAGUUCUUUAUUACAAAUUUUGAGUCUGUCUUCAGAAUCCUUUUAAUAUUAAUAAAAUUAUGUUUCAGACAUUUUGAGCUUCCAGAAUUUUGAAAAAAAAUCAGGUGCAUUAUAUUUUUCAUAGGGGUUAUGUAUAAAACUUGAAAAUCUCCUGGUAACCUGAAGGGGGAAGCCAUAGCAGAUUGAUUAAGGUUACUAACUGAAUCAUUUGCCACUUGAAACUUCUUAUGAGAUGCAGAAUUCUUUCAUGUGAGGAAGCCAUCUAGCUAACUAACGGAAGGUUGUAGUUAUACCUGGGUGCCUGCCCUUGCCUUAAAUAGUGCUUGGUGGGGCACUUGGUGUCUUCACCAACAAAAGCUGGAAAGUUCAGAUAUGACCUAAAUUAUGUGGGUUUAAGGUAAAACUCAACAAAACAAACAAACAAACCAGUUAAUCUGAAAGGGACAUAUAAGUUGGUAAUAAAACCAGAUUUUGUUUUAAUUUCACCAAUAUGGAAUGUUGUAGGCAUUUUCCUUUACAAAAUAAAAUCUGAGUACAUUUUUCAACUCUUUUUGAAUUUUUUUGAGUUACGUCCUUGAAGAGUUCAGUUAGGGAAUAUUGCGUGAAAUGAUCUGAAUUUAAAAGGUAUACUAAGAUAAAAAUUUCACUCUUGAAAAUAUGAACAAUUACUACAUAACAUUAAGAAGUUUAUUUCUAUUUGUAUUUGUAACAGUACUAUGCAAUAUGUUUAAAACAGGGCACAUCUAAGGUAGUCCUAUGUAUGUCUAUUACCAGUAAAAAAGCUGGUAGUUAAUAUUCUAACAAACUGCUGUUACUGCAUGACAUUUAGCUAUAAGAGUAUUGUUUGAAAGCAUAGGAUGCAUUCAAGCAAAAUGAUAUAUAAAGUUAAAUUGGAUUUAAUGAGGAUAUUCUACAUUAGAAAUAAGUAUCUAAAGAUAAAAUAUUUCAGUAUAUUAUGGGCAUCUGGUAUCUGUAAUAGCAGUUUGAAUACAAGGUUUAGUGACAGUGGCCAAUAGAAAAAAAACAGAAAAAAGCUAAAUUGUGUGUUUGUAUAAGAUCUAUUUGUAUGUUCUGAACUUGACCUCAUAUAAUUAGCAGCAAAAAAUGCUAUUGUUUAGAACAUGUUAAAAUGUUCAUGCUGAGUUGUGCAAGUGCUAUUUAUUUGCUUAAAUGCUUGUUUGUAAGUUACUAUAUAAACAUUUCUGUCUCAGGUGUUGAGAAAAGUGCUGGUGUUCACUGUUCAGGUCCAGUAUUUUUGAGUCUUGUAAGAUCUAUAGCUUUGAAAUGUUGUUUAUUUGUUUAUUAUAGUCCGCAAAAUGUUGAUAUAUAUUUGAUAAGUCAUGAAAAGAUAAAUUGAUUGAAUUCCUUUUUCUUUGCAAGGACAUGAUUAUAAAAUGGAAGCAAAGUUCUACUUUGGUUAAAAUCCACAAAUUGUUGGCAGUUAUGGCCCAUUUUCAACUUGAAAGUUUUGUUGUUCAUUCAUAACUCUUGAACCGAUGAAUGGAGUGUCAGUACACAGUAUGUUAAUAAAAUGCAGGCUAAGUUCUAUUUUAGUUACAAACCCUAUUUGUUUGGUAGAAUAAUGGUCCUUUUCUGUACAGGAAGACAGUAUUAUGGGGGUAUUAUGUAGUCUGUUAGAAGGCUGGUAGUUGUAGUUGAUUAUAAUUGUGCUGGACUGAAUUGGCUAUUUGUUGUAGGAAAGUGUCUGUGCAUUUGCCAAGUGAACUGUUUCUUGAGCUUUGUCGGAUUGUUUAUAAAUUAUGCUGUUGUUUCUGUAUUUUAAUUGCUAAAAUACUCCAAAGAAAAUAUUAUGUUGUUUCUUCGACUUAAGCUACCAUUAGCUUUUGGCAUUUCCUGAGCACAAAGUGCUAAAUUGAGCAGUUGUGGUCACCCUGUUUGCAGCAUCAUUGUCAACAUUCUAUACUGUAGGGAUUACAAUUUUGACCAAAUCUGAAUGAAACUUUGUUUGAAAUGUACUCCUAAGUACAAUCUCGGACCAUUUUAUUACUCAGUCAUCUUGGUCCAAAUUCUAGGCCAAAAAAUCUUGUUAACUCUGUAGAGGGCUCAUUUUCUACUUGAUUUUUAUUAAACUUUUUCAGAAUGUUUAUCACUCUAAAAUCUAGUUAAAGGAUGAAACUAGGUUAGCUUAGAUAAAAAAAAUUGGUCAUUAUUCAUUGAAAGAAAUUACCCAUUAAGACAUCUCAAUUUCAGCCUAGCAUUCAUAAACUUUGUCAGACUGUUUGUAUCUGUUAAAUCUGCAUCAAAUUUUUAAGUGGAUUAACUGAGGUCACAAGGUCUAUUCAAAGGAGACCUUUUUAACAGUCUAGAGCCCAUAUUUUUACCUGAUCUUUAUAGGAUUUUGGUAGAAUGUCACUGUAAAUUCUAGUGGAUUAUCUGAGGUAAAUAAAAAACAGGUUCACACUAUCAAACGAUAGAAAAACUUUGCUAACAUUCUAGUGUCUACCUUUUCUACCUGAUUUUCUUAAGGUGUUAUCGGAAUGUUUGUUUAUUUAAAAUCUAGACUGAAUUGGAAACCUUGUUACCUAAGUUAAAAAAAUCUAAGUCACUACACUAAAUGAGAGAAAAAUCUUGUUCGUACUUUUGAUACUUUACAGUGAUGUUUGUCUUCAUAAAAUCUGGUUUAAUGACAAAAGUGGGUUAACUGGGUUCAAAAACAUGUUACCAGAUCAGAUCAUAGAAAAAAGACUUGUUUACAUACUGGAGGACACAUUUUACACAGAUGAUCAUGAAAUCUUGCAGGAUUGUUUGUCUUCAUAAAAUUUAUGUUAAGUGUGAAACUGUGUUGCAAUGUCAAAUUCAUAGAAAAAAACUCGGUUAACUGUACAAACUGAUUUACAUACAUGUAAAACCUGGUCAGAAUGUCAAAUCAAAGAAAACCCCUGUGUGUGGAGGGGCUUCAUUUAUGACUGGAUAUUCGUGAAAUUUGAUCAGAAUGAUUUUCUUGGUGAAUUUUAGGUUAAGUUUGAAUCUUGGUCGUCUUGGGACAAACACUAGGUCACCUGGUCAAAUCAAAAAAAGUUCUUGUGUAUGCAAUAGGAGCUGCAUUUUUCACUUGAUGUGCAAGAAACUUGGUCAGAAUAGUUGUCUCCAUGAAAUGUCGGAUGAGUUUUAUCUAGGUCACGUGGGGUAAAAAACUAGGUCACCAGGUCAAAUAAAAAAGCUUGUUUACACUUUAGGCGCCACAUUUUGAUUCUGUCUUUAUAAUACUUGGUCAGAAUGUCUUUGGAUGAUUUCGAAUCUGGGUCACGUCGGGUCAAAAACUAGGUCACUAGGUCAAAUCAAUGGAAACGCUUGUUUACACUCUAGAUGCCACUAUUUUGCUCCAAUCAUUCCGAGAUGUUGUCUGAAUGUUUGUUUUCAUGAAAUUUUGGACGAGUUCUAAUCUAAUGUGGGGGUCACAAAUUAGGUCUUUAGGUCAAAUCAAAGUAAAUGCUUGUUUACACUCUAGAGGCCACAUUGUUGGUUCAAUCUUAAUGAAAAUUGGUCAGAAUAUUUAUCUCCAUGAAAUCACUAUGUCAAACAUGUUCACACUGUUAUGGUAUGUUACUCAGGUGAGCGACCUAGGGAUAUCUUGGCCGUACGUUUUGUUUUAAAACUCACACAACUCGACAUAAGUGAAAAAUUCGUUUUGUAAAAGUGGCAUAUUGCGUUAUGAUACAGACAUUCAAUUUUUUCCAUGUAAAACCCAAAAUCAAGCAAAAGGAGGAAGGGGACACUUUUGCAAUGUCACAGAGAGAGAGAGAGAGAGAAGACAUUUGUACAAGCAUUUGUACUAAUAUAAAGUUUUAUAUCAUUUUAUAUACGUUAACAUAGCUGAUGCACUAUCUGUUGAAAUAAAUGAAACAAAAGUC
rnacentral:misc_RNA from 1 species